CAUUAUUGCUCAUGUAAAUCACUCUGGAUAAGAGUGUCUGCUAAAUGACAAAAA
rfam:Salmo salar isolate Sally breed double haploid chromosome ssa03, whole genome shotgun sequence.